rnacentral:lncRNA from 1 species
CCUAUCUUAUUUUAAUGAAUGUGUUAGCCCUUUCAGCACUUGUUUGAUUACACAUGCACUAUACCAUCCCCUUAGGCAAUUCCCUCUAUGCUACUUUCCCUCCACCCCAUCUCGACAUCUGAAGACCAGCAAGACAGGAUAAACCGAGGACUCCUCCUCGACGAACCAGUAGCGCUAUGAUGUACUCAACCAAGUUCAACCCCGUAGAGCUAUGUUUCUCCCUCAAGAUUGGAAACCCUCCCUAGACUAACCUAGACCUCACAAGUUACACAAC